GGGGGUGAAAUGGUUUCGACGGGAUAGGUGUGGGGUUGUUGGCGUGCCGAGGGACUCCGGAUUCCUCGUUAAACAUCCGGUAAACACAACAACUGGCGAAUACAAUUACGCCAUGGCUGCCUAGUAGAGUAUAACUCCUAGGCGCCCGUUCCUUCAGUCUGCCGCCUUUCCGGGCUGAAUGUGAGCGUCGUGCAGGAAGGCUCGAUCCGGCGACGCCCUUAAGUCGGAUUUAAAACGCAGGGGCUGGCCGUCAUGCUGGCCUGCCGCUCGGCAGGUAUGGCGGCAAGAAUAAAAGAGCGGCUACGCACGUAGAGGAUGAUCUGGCGCCUUUUUCGGACGGGGGUUCGAUUCCCCCCACCUCCAUUU
rnacentral:tmRNA from 1 species